rnacentral:rRNA from 1 species
UACGUAGGGGGCAAGCGUUGUCCGGAUUUAUUGGGCGUAAAGAGCGUGUAGGCGGCCAAACAGGUCAGCUGUGAAAACUCGAGGCUCAACCUCGAGACGUCGGUUGAAACCGUUUGGCUAGAGUCCGGAAGAGGAGAGUGGAAUUCCCGGUGUAGCGGUGAAAUGCGCAGAUAUCAGGAGGAACACCGAUGGCGAAGGCAGGUCUCUGGGCAUUAACUGACGCUGAGGAGCGAAAGCGUGGGGAGCGAACAGG